rnacentral:lncRNA from 1 species
AUGUCCCAGAAACAAGAAGAAAACCCUGCGGAGGAGACCGGGGAGGAGAAGCAAGAUACACAAGAGAAAGAAGGGAUUCUCCCUGAGAAAGCUGAGGAGGCAAAGCUAACGGCCAAAUAUUCAAGCCUAGGACAAAAGCCUGGAGGCUCCAACUUCCUCAUGAAGAGACUCCAGAGAGAGCAAAGUACUUUGACUCAGGAGACUACAACAUGGCCAAAGCCAAGAUGAAGAACAAGCAGCUGCCGAGUGCAGGAGCAGAUAAAAACCUGGUGACUGGUGACCACAGCCCCAACCCACAGGACUUGCCCCAGAGAAAGUCCUCACUUGUUACCAGCAAGCUUGCGGGGUAA